AACGUAGGAGACAAACGUUAUCCGGAGUUACUGGGCGUAAAGGGCGUGUAGGUGGUUUCGUAAGUCUGGCGUGAAAUUUCUCGGCUUAACCGGGGAACUGCGUCUGAUACUGGAUGGCUUGAGAUUGGGAGAGGGAUGCGGAAUUCCAGGUGUAGCGGUGAAAUGCGUAGAUAUCUGGAGGAACACCGGUGGCGAAGGCGGCAUCCUGGACCAACACUGACGCUGAGUGAGCGAAAGCCAGGGGAGCAAACGGG
rnacentral:rRNA from 1 species